rfam:Myotis lucifugus cont2.161, whole genome shotgun sequence.
GGUGGUUCUCAGGUGAUGCACCGCGGAAUCGGGCUUCCUCCUCUCUGGUUUUGGGGUGCGUCACCCAAGAGCUGCU